ACCGUCUCUGGGACACAUCUGUGGCUGUAUCUGAGAUCAGGGAUCUCUUAACUCUUGCCAAAAUGUCCUGCCAGCAGAACCAGAAGCAGUGCCAGCCUCCUCCCAAGUGUUCCCCUAAGUGCUCCCCUAAGUGUCCCCCUAAGAGUACCUCCAAGUGCUCAGCCUCAUGCCUUCCUCCAGUCUCUACCUGCUGUAGCUCCAGUUCAGGGGACUGCUGUAGCUCUGGAAGUGGGGGCUGCUGCCUGAGCCACCACAGGCCCCACCGAUCUCUUCGUCACAGACACCAGAGCUCUGGCUGCUGCAAUAGUGGCAGUGGUGGUGCCUGUACCUGUGGCAGUCACUGUACCUGCAGUAGUGAUUGCAACUGCCGCAAUAGACAGCAGUCUGGUGGCUCUGGCUGUUGCUCUGGAGGCUACUGAUGGCCGGGCCAUAAGAAGCACAAAGAAACAGCACUGAAGAAUUAAAGGGCAAAGAUUAUAUUGGACUCCAGACAUGUUAACCCACUUCUAGCUCUUGACUCUUCCUUUAAGCCCAUUCACAUCAACAAUUAUGGAAUAUUUGCUUUUCUGAGCUCUUCUCCAGCGGUAUGUGUUGGAUAUGUGUUCUUCAGGAUUCAUAUCAAUGUUUAUUCUCCUCAUAUUGUUGAAAAGAAUUUCAAAGCAUACGAUUGAAAACAAUAAAUCUAUUCUUAAGUCAUCAUUUAC